AGUGAACGCUGGCGGUAGGCCUAACACAUGCAAGUCGAACGGCAGCACAGUAAGAGCUUGCUCUUACGGGUGGCGAGUGGCGGACGGGUGAGGAAUACAUCGGAAUCUACUUUUUCGUGGGGAUAACGUAGGGAAACUUACGCUAAUACCGCAUACGACCUACGGGUGAAAGCAGGGGAUCUUCGGACCUUGCGCGAUUGAAUGAGCCGAUGUCGGAUUAGCUAGUUGGCGGGGUAAAGGCCCACCAAGGCGGCGAUCGGUAGCUGGUCUGAGAGGAUGAUCAGCCACACUGGAACUGAGACACGGUCCAGACUCCUACGGGAGGCAGCAGUGGGGAAUAUUGGACAAUGGGCGCAAGCCUGAUCCAGCCAUACCGCGUGGGUGAAGAAGGCCUUCGGGUUGUAAAGCCCUUUUGUUGGGAAAGAAAAGCAGCAGGUUAAUACCCCGCGGUUCUGACGGUACCCAAAGAAUAAGCACCGGCUAACUUCGUG
rnacentral:rRNA from 1 species